GGAAUAUUGGACAAUGGGGGAAACCCUGAUCCAGCGACGCCGCGUGGGUGAAGAAGGCCUGCGGGUUGUAAAGCCCUUUCGGUGGGGAAGAAAAGCCUCGACCUAAUACGUCGGGGUCUUGACGCAACCCACAGAAGAAGCCACGGCUAACUCUGGCCCAGCCGCCGCGGUAAUACAGAGGGUGCGAGCGUUAAUCGGAAUUACUGGGCGUAAAGCGCACGUAGGCGGCUCUGCAAGUCGGGUGUGAAAUCCCCGGGCUCAACCUGGGAACUGCAUUCGAGACUGCAUUGCUCGAGUAUGGGAGAGGGAAGUGGAAUUUCCGGUGUAGCGGUGAAAUGCGUAGAUAUCGGAAGGAACACCAGUGGCGAAAGCGACUUCCUGGACCAAUACUGACGCUCAUGUGCGAAAGCGUGGGGAGCAA
rnacentral:rRNA from 1 species